AUUGAACGCUGGCGGCAUGCCUUACACAUGCAAGUCGAACGGAUCAGAGGGGCUUGCUCCUCUGGUUAGUGGCGAACGGGUGAGUAAAGCAUCGGAACGCACCCAGUUGUGGGGGAUAACGUAGCGAAAGUUACGCUAAUACCGCAUACGCACUGAGGUGGAAAGCGGGGGACCGAAAGGCCUCGCGCAAUUGGAGCGGCCGAUGUCGGAUUAGCUAGUUGGUGAGGUAAAGGCUCACCAAGGCGACGAUCCGUAGCUGGUCUGAGAGGACGACCAGCCACACUGGAACUGAGACACGGUCCAGACGCCUACGGGAGGCAGCAGUGGGGAAUUUUGGACAAUGGGCGAAAGCCUGAUCCAGCCAUGCCGCGUGAGUGAAGAAGGCCUUCGGGUUGUAAAGCUCUUUCAGACGGAAAGAAAUCUUUCGGGUGAAUAUCCCGGAAGGAUGACGGUACCGUAAGAAGAAGCACCGGCUAACUACGUGCCAGCCGCCGCCGUAA
rnacentral:rRNA from 1 species